UAGGGAAUCUUCGGCAAUGGACGGAAGUCUGACCGAGCAACGCCGCGGGAGUGAAGAAGGUUUUCGGAUCGUAAAGCUCUGUUGUUAGAGAAGAACGUUGGUAGGAGUGGAAAAUCUACCAAGUGACGGUAACUAACCAGAAAGGGACGGCUAACUACGUGCCAGCAGCCGCGGUAAUACGUAGGUCCCGAGCGUUGUCCGGAUUUAUUGGGCGUAAAGCGAGCGCAGGCGGUUCUUUAAGUCUGAAGUUAAAGGCAGUGGCUUAACCAUUGUACGCUUUGGAAACUGGAGGACUUGAGUGCAGAAGGGGGGAGUGGAAUUCCAUGUGUAGCGGUGAAAUGCGUAGAUAUAUGGAGGAACACCGGUGGCGAAAGCGGCUCUCUGGUCUGUAACUGACGCUGAGGCUCGAAAGCGUGGGGAGCAAACAGG
rnacentral:rRNA from 1 species